rnacentral:rRNA from 1 species
AUGGCGUCUCACCUCCAGCUAUCCUGCUCCGAGUCGGGCUCUCCUUCCCCCGCCCCGUCGUUCGCGCCCCCGCGGUCUCCGCUCAGAUCUGGGGCUGCGCCGACCGUGGGCUCUGCCUUGGGUCCGCUCCAGCCUUCCGGUCCGGUCCUGCGCCGUGGCGGAGAUGUGGAGUGGCGCGAGCAGAGGAGCCGUCGCCAACCCCGACGCGUCUCCCCGCCGGCUGCGCGAGGGGGGGGGGGGGCUGCCCUUCGGGUGCAGGAGCUCCCGUCCCUGCGGCCUCCGCCCACAGGAAUGCCAUCCCGGCUCGUCGGCUGCUGCUACAACUGCGGCGAGCUGGACCAUAUCUCCAGGAAGUGCAUGAAUUAG